rnacentral:rRNA from 1 species
UACGUAGGUGGCAAGCGUUGUCCGGAUUUACUGGGCGUAAAGAGCGUGUAGGCGGCUAGGUAGGUCCGCUGUGAAAACUCGAGGCUCAACCUCGAGCUGUCGGUGGAAACCAUCUAGCUAGAGUCCGGAAGAGGAGAGUGGAAUUCCCGGUGUAGCGGUGAAAUGCGCAGAUAUCGGGAAGAACACCCGUGGCGAAGGCGGCUCUCUGGGACGGUACUGACGCUGAGACGCGAAAGCGUGGGGAGCAAACAGG